GACGAACGCUGGCGGCGUGCUUAACACAUGCAAGUCGAACGGAAAGGCCCUGCUUUUGUGGGGUGCUCGAGUGGCGAACGGGUGAGUAACACGUGAGUAACCUGCCCUUGACUUUGGGAUAACUUCAGGAAACUGGGGCUAAUACCGGAUAGGAGCUCCUGCUGCAUGGUGGGGGUUGGAAAGUUUCGGCGGUUGGGGAUGGACUCGCGGCUUAUCAGCUUGUUGGUGGGGUAGUGGCUUACCAAGGCUUUGGCGGGUAGCCGGCCUGAGAGGGUGACCGGCCACACUGGGACUGAGAUGCGGCACAGACUCCUACGGGAGGCAGCAGUGGGGAAUCUUGCACAAUGGGCGGAGGCCGGAUGCAGAAACGCCGCGUGCGGGAUGACGGCCUUCGGGUUGUAAAACGCUUUCGCCUGUGACGAAGCGUGAGUGACGGUAAUGGGUAAAGAAGCACCGGCUAACUACGUG
rnacentral:rRNA from 1 species